AGCAGCCGCGGUAAUUCCAGCUCCAAUAGCGUAUAUUAAAGUUGUUGCAGUUAAAAAGCUCGUAGUUGAAUUUCGGGAUCAAUCUAUCGGUCGUGCAAUAGUACGUACUGAUUUUAUUGAUUCCUCCCUUCUGAUGAACUAUGAUGUCAUUAAUUUGGUGUCAUAGGGAAUCAGGACUGUUACUUUGAAAAAUUAGAGUGUUUAAAGCAGGCUCACGCUUGAAUACAUUAGCAUGGAAUAACGAAAUAGGACGUUUGAUUCUAUUUUGUUGGUUUCUAGGAUCGACGUAAUGAUUAAUAGGGAUAGUUGGGGGCAUUAGUAUUCAAUUGUCAGAGGUGAAAUUCUUGGAUUUAUUGAAGACUAACUACUGCGAAAGCAUUUGCCAAGGGUGUUUUCAUUAAUCAAGAACGAAAGUUAGGGGAUCGAAGACGAUCAGAUACCGUCGUAGUCUUAACCAUAAACUAUGCCGACUAGGGAUCGGAUGAUGUUAAUUUUUUAAUGACUCAUUCC
rnacentral:misc_RNA from 1 species